rnacentral:rRNA from 1 species
AGUGAACGCUGGCGGUAGGCCUAACACAUGCAAGUCGAACGGCAGCACAGUAAGAGCUUGCUCUUACGGGUGGCGAGUGGCGGACGGGUGAGGAAUACAUCGGAAUCUACUUUUUCGUGGGGGAUAACGUAGGGAAACUUACGCUAAUACCGCAUACGACCUACGGGUGAAAGCAGGGGAUCUUCGGACCUUGCGCGAUUGAAUGAGCCGAUGUCGGAUUAGCUAGUUGGCGGGGUAAAGGCCCACCAAGGCGACGAUCCGUAGCUGGUCUGAGAGGAUGAUCAGCCACACUGGAACUGAGACACGGUCCAGACGCCUACGGGAGGCAGCAGUGGGGAAUAUUGGACAAUGGGCGCAAGCCUGAUCCAGCCAUACCGCGUGGGUGAAGAAGGCCUUCGGGUUGUAAAGCCCUUUUGUUGGGAAAGAAAAGCAGCAGGUUAAUACCCCGCUGUUCUGACGGUACCCAAAGAAUAAGCACCGGCUAACUCCGUG